GUUGAACGCCACCGAGAGCUCAUUCGUGGGCUGGGCUGUCGCGAGUUCCUUCCAGAGCAGAGUGGUCACAAAGCAGGAAGGACACAGAGGCAGCUAUAUUGUUAGAAUGAUUUCUGCAGCUUGCAAGAGAGAGGGUAAAAGGAGAUGGAAAUUAUUCUACAAGAUGAAGGUUUGAAUGUAUUCCUCUGCACUUCAAUGAAGAAAUUAAGCACUUGACUAGAAUUAGUUUAGACUGAAAAGCAUUCAUACCCAAUAUGUACUUUCUCUGAGCUCUCACUUCUAAGGUGAGUUUAACAUAGAAAUGCCAUACUGUGUCUGAAACAAACUUUGAUAGAGUUUGUUGACUGACUCAAAUAGUAAAAUUCUACCAUUUUGGAAUGUAGGAAUUGGAUUUUAUCUCUGAAUAAAAUUAGUUAUAAAACUUAUCUAUUCAUGUUUGUGAUGUUUCUCAUUAGCUCUUUCCUCCCUCUACCUUUCCAUUCCACCCUUGUUACCUUCUUUUUAUGAGUUGUGUAUAUUCUUAAGUGUCACCUUGUGAGAGUAUGCAUAAUAGUUUAGGUUGCUGCAUGUUGUAGCCUUGACAUAGUAGAGGUUCUCCCUACCUUAGUCCAAGGGAUUUUUGCAUUUAGCAUUUGACAGUGUCAUGAUAAACUAUUUCUGUGGCUUGCCUUUGGCCAUCCUUCACUACUUUGUCCCAGGAGACACAGAAAUCUGUGAGUCUUAUAGAUUUUAUUUUUUUUUGUUGUUGAGACU